AGAGUUCUUUCCUGGCUCAGGAUGAACGCUAGCUACAGGCUUAACACAUGCAAGUCGAGGGGCAGCAUCAUCAAAGCUUGCUUUGAUGGAUGGCGACCGGCGCACGGGUGAGUAACACGUAUCCAACCUGCCGACAACACUGGGAUAGCCUUUCGAAAGAAAGAUUAAUACCGGAUGGUAUAGUUUUCCCGCAUGGGGUGACUAUUAAAGAAUUUCGGUUGUCGAUGGGGAUGCGUUCCAUUAGGCAGUUGGCGGGGUAACGGCCCACCAAACCAACGAUGGAUAGGGGUUCUGAGAGGAAGGUCCCCCACAUUGGAACUGAGACACGGUCCAAACUCCUACGGGAGGCAGCAGUGAGGAAUAUUGGUCAAUGGACGAGAGUCUGAACCAGCCAAGUAGCGUGAAGGAUGACUGCCCUAUGGGUUGUAAACUUCUUUUAUACGGGAAUAAAGUGAGCCACGUGUGGCUUUUUGUAUGUACCGUAUGAAUAAGGAUCGGCUAACUCCGUGCCAGCAGCCGCGGUAAUACGGAGGAUCCGAGCGUUAUCCGGAUUUAUUGGGUUUAAAGGGAGCGUAGGCGGGUUGUUAAGUCAGUUGUGAAAGUUUGCGGCUCAACCGUAAAAUUGCAGUUGAUACUGGCGACCUUGAGCGCAACAGAGGUAGGCGGAAUUCGUGGUGUAGCGGUGAAAUGCUUAGAUAUCACGAAGAACUCCGAUUGCGAAGGCAGCUUACUGGAUUGUAACUGACGCUGAUGCUCGAAAGUGUGGGUAUCAAACAGGAUUAGAUACCCUGGUAGUCCACACAGUAAACGAUG
rnacentral:rRNA from 1 species